rnacentral:rRNA from 1 species
GUAACACGUACGCAACCUUCCCGUUACUGUGGGAUAGCCCAGGGAAACUUGGAUUAAUACCACAUAUUGCCAUUGGGAGGCAUCUCUUGAUGGCCAAAGAAUUUCGGUAACGGAUGGGCGUGCGGUUGAUUAGGUAGUUGGCGGGGUAACGGCCCACCAAGCCUACGAUCAAUAGCUGAUGUGAGAGCAUGAUCAGCCACACGGGCACUGAGACACGGGCCCGACUCCUACGGGAGGCAGCAGUAAGGAAUAUUGGGCAAUGGACGCAAGUCUGACCCAGCCAUGCCGCGUGAAGGAUGAAGGUCCUCUGGAUUGUAAACUUCUUUUUUCUGGGGAGAAAUGCAUCUUUUCUAAGGUGUUUGACGGUACCAGAAGAAUAAGCACCGGCUAACUCCGUGCCAGCAGCCGCGGUAAUACGGAGGGUGCAAGCGUUAUCCGGAUUCACUGGGUUUAAAGGGUGCGUAGGUGGGCAUGUAAGUCAGAGGUGAAAUCCCCGAGCUUAACUUGGGAACUGCCUUUGAUACUAUAUGUCUUGAAUGUUGUGGAGGUAAGCGGAAUAUGUCAUGUAGCGGUGAAAUGCUUAGAUAUGACAUAGAACACCGAUUGCGAAGGCAGCUUGCCACACAAAUAUUGACACUGAGGCA